UGGGGAAUAUUGGACAAUGGACGCAAGUCUGAUCCAGCCAUGCCGCGUGCGGGAAGAAGGCCUUCGGGUUGUAAACCGCUUUUGUCAGGGAAGAAACGAGUUUCUCUAAUACAGAGACUUAAUGACGGUACCUGAAGAAUAAGUACCGGCUAACUACGUGCCAGCAGCCGCGGUAAUACGUAGGGUGCGAGCGUUAAUCGGAAUUACUGGGCGUAAAGCGUGCGCAGGCGGUUAUAUAAGACAGAUGUGAAAUCCCCGGGCUCAACCUGGGGACUGCAUUUGUGACUGUAUAGCUAGAGUACGGCAGAGGGGGAUGGAAUUCCGCGUGUAGCAGUGAAAUGCGUAGAUAUGCGGAGGAACACCGAUGGCGAAGGCAAUCCCCUGGGCCUGCACUGACGCUCAUGCACGAAAGCGUGGGGAGCAAACA
rnacentral:rRNA from 1 species